UACGUAGGGGGCAAGCGUUGUCCGGCUUUAUUGGGCGUAAAGAGCGUGUAGGCGGCCAUGCAGGUCCGUUGUGAAAACUCGAGGCUCAACCUCGAGACGCCGAUGGAAACCGCAUGGCUAGAGUCCGGAAGAGGAGAGUGGAAUUCCUGGUGUAGCGGUGAAAUGCGCAGAUAUCAGGAAGAACACCCGUGGCUAAGGCGGCUCUCUAGUACGGUACUGACGCUGAGACGCGAAAGCGUGGGGAGCGAACAGG
rnacentral:rRNA from 1 species